rnacentral:rRNA from 1 species
CCUGAUGCAGCAACGCCGCGUGAGGGACGACGGCCUUCGGGUUGUAAACCUCUUUUAGCAAGGAAGAAGCGAAAGUGACGGUACUUGCAGAAAAAGCGCCGGCUAACUACGUGCCAGCAGCCGCGGUAAUACGUAGGGCGCAAGCGUUAUCCGGAAUUAUUGGGCGUAAAGAGCUCGUAGGCGGUUUGUCGCGUCUGCUGUGAAAUCCCGAGGCUCAACCUCGGGUCUGCAGUGGGUACGGGCAGACUAGAGUGCGGUAGGGGAGAUUGGAAUUCCUGGUGUAGCGGUGGAAUGCGCAGAUAUCAGGAGGAACACCGAUGGCGAAGGCAGAUCUCUGGGCCGUAACUGACGCUGAGGAGCGAAAGGGUGGGGAGCAAACAGGCUUAGAUACCCUGGUAGUCCACCCCGUAAACGUUGGGAACUAGUUGUGGGGUCCAUUCCACGGAUUCCGUGACGCAGCUAACGCAUUAAGUUCCCCGCCUGGGGAGUACGGCCGCAAGGCUAAAACUCAAAGGAAUUGACGGGGACCCGCACAAGCGGCGGAGCAUGCGGAUUAAUUCGAUGCAACGCGAAGAACCUUACCAAGGCUUGACAUACACGAGAACGCUGCAGAAAUGUAGAACUCUUUGGACA